AGAACACAGGAUGUCAGCGCCAUCUUGUGACGGCGAAUGUGGGGGCGGCUCCCAACAGUCACCCAUCCAUUAGUGGCUCAUGUGUUCUUAAGACAAACUCAGCAGGCUGUACCUGUCCAGAGCCGAGGAGACUGACCUGCUUAUCCAUGCUACUUAUCAGGAACUGUGGAACCAUGGAGAACAUGACCCUGGCCCUCCCUUCAGGAUCUGCCUGAGAUCUGGCUGCCUCUUGAGACACUAGAGCCCUGGAUUCAAUUGCGGAACAUUAUGUUGGAGAAUAUAAACACUUCUAGACUGUGCCGGCAUUUGGGAAGGAAUAGUCUGUUUUGACUUGAAUGAACAAAGACAUACGUCUCUGGGCCUGGGGAAGGCUUACCAGCUCAGCUCAUCUACUGUCUGGUGGCAAACAUGUCCUGGGUACUGCCACUACCCAGGACACUCUUCCUCACUCUGUCCCUGUCCAGUUACCGCACCCUUCCCUGUCUGACCCCGCCUCCUGUGCCCACUCGCCUCUGGACCCAGAGAUUCUUCUUGUUUGCUCUAUCAUCCUUGAGCCGGAUACAGGGUGAAUAGUUAACCACACUUGGGUUGAAUGGGAUCUUGAUUCUUAUUUCUGUUCCUUGGAAAGAGGGGUCAGACUCGGUGCGUGGCACCCGGCCUGGAAGCAGCACAAGACUCCAGAGUGAUACAUGAUCUGCCUGGAUGGUCCCAGGGGCUCUUUGGAGGUCAGAGCAAGAGGAGCAGCCUGAGCAGGGGGGCUGAGGAGGGCCGGCACUGGAUCACACGCAGGCGUAUGUCUGGAUAGGCAGAGAGGAACCCACUUUUCAUUCCCUCUUCUGUGACACAAAUGCAAGGAACUUUGAAGACACUCUUCGGAGGUUGCAAUCGGAGAUCAGCUUAUCCAAGGGCUUCAUGUCUGAGCUCUGUUGGUCGUGCCUCCUGAGGACCUCUUUCCUCUACUGUAUGCUGAUGACACACCCAUCCGAUGGGAGCUGGAGCCUUGUCUGGUCCUUUCCUCUAUGACCCCACGUGUACAGUUGGAAAUCCUUCCUAAUCAUGCCUUGAUUCCCCCUUUUCGACUACACUCAAAGAUGUUUGAGCUGUUUUAUUUGCAAAAUGGAUGGACAGUUUGUUUAUAUAAAACAAUCCCAGCUUCCUUGUGCUCUAUCUGGUGUGUUUGUAUGGCUCUUCAGUGACUUUAAAGUGGAGCAUUGACCUUGGCCUCUUUGAUUCUCCAUGGUGGAAUAGAGAAGACCUCUUGAGGAUGCUUAAUGUUGCUGAGAUCUUAAGAAGGCUUGCAGACUUCCUCUUCCUCCCUCCUUCUCCCACCUCCUCCUUCCCUAAGCAGCCUCUGCAUUGUAUAAAUUCCUUUAUAUAAAUUCCUCUGUAAAUGUUGUCUUUUCUAAA
rnacentral:lncRNA from 1 species